GGUUGGUCCGAGUGCAGUGGUGUUUACAACUAAUUGAUCACAAACAGUUACAGAUUCCUUUGUUCCUUCUCCACUCCCACUGCUCCACUUGACCAGCCUUUA
rnacentral:Y_RNA from 1 species